rnacentral:lncRNA from 1 species
AACCUACUAUCAGCCACUCCUGAACAUCAUCUAUCAGACACUACUGAACAUCAUCUAUCAGCCACUCCUGAACAUCAUCUAUCAGCCACUCCUGAACUCAUCUAUCACCACUCUGAACAACAUCUAUCAGUCACUCCUGAACACUAUCUAUCAGCCACUCCUGAACACUAUCUAUCAGCCACUCCUGAACAACAUCUAUCAGCCACUCCUGAACAACAUCUAUCAGCCACUCCUGAACAUCAUCUGUCAGCCACUCCUGAACACUAUCUAUCAGCCACUCCUGAACACUAUCUAUCCAGCCACUCUUGAACGCUAUCUAUCAGCCACACCUGAACAUAUCUAUCUGGAGCACCUAAACACUAUUAUCAGCCACUCCUGA